rnacentral:pre_miRNA from 1 species
UUUGAGGGGAAUGUUGUCUGGCUCGAGGCCACCAACACUGUCAACUGAGUCGAAUGAAUCGAUCUCAGCAGAUCUAGAUAACUAUAGUUUAGAUCGCUUAAUUAUGUGCAAGUGUCGUCGGACCAGGCUUCAUUCCCCUCAAU